CACGUAGGGCGCAAGCGUUGUCCGGAAUUAUUGGGCGUAAAGAGCUCGUAGGCGGUCUGUUGCGUCUGCUGUGAAAACUCGGGGCUUAACCCCGAGCCUGCAGUGGAUACGGGCAGACUAGAGGUAGGUAGGGGAGAAUGGAAUUCCCGGUGUAGCGGUGAAAUGCGCAGAUAUCGGGAGGAACACCGGUGGCGAAGGCGGUUCUCUGGGCCGAUACUGACGCUGAGGAGCGAAAGCGUGGGGAGCGAACAGG
rnacentral:rRNA from 1 species